UCACUAAAUAGUUUCAACACACUUCAAAGAAAAUAGAAAUUAAAGCUCAAAUAAUUACAUCCAAAGGAUAGGAAUAUGGCUAAGUCAUUAUUGAACUACACAACCUUCCUUGCUCUCCUUUUAUGCUUCCUCCUCAUAUCAUCCAAUGAGAUUGAAGUUGUUGAGGGGAAAACUUGCCGAUGGCAGAGCAAUUUAUAUCGAUCGAGGUUUUGUUUGUCUAGCAAGUAUUGUGUAAAACGUUGCAGAGAUGAGAUUUCAAAGGUAACCAAAGGUCAGUGCAUUACAAAAGGCUGGGGUCGUUAUUGCUUCUGUUGGCGCACAGGGGCCUGCCCUCCUAAGCCUUAAAUCAAUCAAUAACAAAAUUAAUGUUAUGCAUGGUGUGUGUGUGUGUUAUCAAGAAUAAAAAACACUAUCAAUUCUAUCAUUAGAAUUGUAGUGAUUGUGAGGAAAUUGUACUUUUAUCAUUAUGAUGUUUGUAUUGUAUUUUCUUCUUUGGUCAUGUUCCCUAGUUUUUUUAAAGUCAAUUUAAAUAAAUUGUUUAUGGUCAUUGUCAUUGACUAGACUACUAUAUGUAAUA